GACGAACCGUGCGAACGUUGUUCGGAAUCACUGGGCUUAAAGCGCACGUAGGCGGCUUACUAAGUCAGGGGUGAAAUCCUGGAGCUCAACUCCAGAACUGCCUUUGAUACUGGUGAGCUUGAGUCCGGAAGAGGUGAGUGGAACUGCGAGUGUAGAGGUGAAAUUCGUAGAUAUUCGCAAGAACACCAGUGGCGAAGGCGGCUCACUGGUCCGGUACUGACGCUGAGGUGCGAAAGCGUGGGGAGCAAACAGGG
rnacentral:rRNA from 1 species